GGAGGAUUACCCAAGUCUGGCUGAAGGGAACGGUCUUGAAAACCGUCAGGCGAGUAAAAUCGCGCGGGGGUUCGAAUCCCUCAUCCUCCU
rfam:Brochothrix thermosphacta DSM 20171 = FSL F6-1036 c53, whole genome shotgun sequence.